rnacentral:rRNA from 1 species
UGGGGAAUUUUGUACAAUGGAGGAAACUCUGAUGCAGCGACGCCGCGUGAGUGAUGAAGAUCUUCGGAUUGUAAAACUCUGUCCUUAGUGAAGAUAAUGACAGUAACUAAGAAGCAAGUCCUGGCUAAAUACGCGCCAGCAGACGCGGUAAUACGUAUGGGGCAAGCGUUGUCCGGAAUUAUUGGGCGUAAAGGGCACGUAGGCGGUUUAAUAAGUGCUAAUUAAAAGGCUAUGGCUCAACCAUAGUAUGGUUAGGAAACUGUUGAACGUGAGUAGAUGGGGGGAAAGUAGUAUUCCAUGUGUAGGGGAGAAAUGCGUAGAUAUAUGGAAGAACACCAAUGGCGAAGGCAACUUUCUGUAAUCAAACUGACGCAGAGGUACAAGGGCGUGGGGAGCAAACAGG